rnacentral:rRNA from 1 species
UAUGGAGAGUUUGAUCCUGGCUCAGAGUGAACGCUGGCGGCGUGCCUAAUACAUGCAAGUCGAACGAUGAAGCUUCUAGCUUGCUAGAAUGCUGAUUAGUGGCGCACGGGUGAGUAACGCAUAGGUCAUGUGCCUCUUAGUUUGGGAUAGCCAUUGGAAACGAUGAUUAAUACCAGAUACUCCCUACGGGGGAAAGAUUUAUCGCUAAGAGAUCAGCCUAUGUCCUAUCAGCUUGUUGGUAAGGUAAUGGCUUACCAAGGCUAUGACGGGUAUCCGGCCUGAGAGGGUGAACGGACACACUGGAACUGAGACACGGUCCAGACUCCUACGGGAGGCAGCAGUAGGGAAUAUUGCUCAAUGGGGGAAACCCUGAAGCAGCAACGCCGCGUGGAGGAUGAAGGUUUUAGGAUUGUAAACUCCUUUUGUUAGAGAAGAUAAUGACGGUAUCUAACGAAUAAGCACCGGCUAACUCCGUGCCAGCAGCCGCGGUAAUACGGAGGGUGCAAGCGUUACUCGGAAUCACUGGGCGUAAAGAGCGCGUAGGCGGGAUAGUCAGUCAGGUGUGAAAUCCUAUGGCUUAACCAUAGAACUGCAUUUGAAACUACUAUUCUAGAGUGUGGGAGAGGUAGGUGGAAUUCUUGGUGUAGGGGUAAAAUCCGUAGAGAUCAAGAGGAAUACUCAUUGCGAAGGCGACCUGCUGGAACAUUACUGACGCUGAUUGCGCGAAAGCGUGGGGAGCAAACAGGAUUAGAUACCCUGGUAGUCCACGCCCUAAACGAUGGAUGCUAGUUGUUGGAGGGCUUAGUCUCUCCAGUAAUGCAGCUAACGCAUUAAGCAUCCCGCCUGGGGAGUACGGUCGCAAGAUUAAAACUCAAAGGAAUAGACGGGGACCCGCACAAGCGGUGGAGCAUGUGGUUUAAUUCGAAGAUACACGAAGAACCUUACCUAGGCUUGACAUUGAGAGAAUCCGCUAGAAAUAGUGGAGUGUCUGGCUUGCCAGACCUUGAAAACAGGUGCUGCACGGCUGUCGUCAGCUCGUGUCGUGAGAUGUUGGGUUAAGUCCCGCAACGAGCGCAACCCCCUUUCUUAGUUGCUAACAGGUUAUGCUGAGAACUCUAAGGAUACUGCCUCCGUAAGGAGGAGGAAGGUGGGGACGACGUCAAGUCAUCAUGGCCCUUACGCCUAGGGCUACACACGUGCUACAAUGGGGUGCACAAAGAGAAGCAAUACUGCGAAGUGGAGCCAAUCUUCAAAACACCUCUCAGUUCGGAUUGUAGGCUGCAACUCGCCUGCAUGAAGCUGGAAUCGCUAGUAAUCGCAAAUCAGCCAUGUUGCGGUGAAUACGUUCCCGGGUCUUGUACUCACCGCCCGUCACACCAUGGGAGUUGUGUUUGCCUUAAGUCAGGAUGCUAAAUUGGCUACUGCCCACGGCAUACACAGCGACUGGGGUGAAGUCGUAACAAGGUAACCGUAGGUGAACCUGCGGUUGGAUCACCUCCUU